UUGAUAAACCAGCGACAGCCCACACCAGCCACAGACGUGCAGAUUUCACCUCCUGAAUUCUCUCCCAUGUACUCAAAAACUAAAAGCUUUUGUGCAUGGUGAUAAAUAAAUAAGACUUCUUUUAAUGAAUCCAGACUUACCUGAGGACAACUGUAGGGUUAAUACAACAAAGAUUUCUCUUUACCUGGUGUGUGUGUGUGUGUGUGUGUGUGUGUGUGUGUGUGUGUGUGUGUGUUAAAAGAAGUACUAAGGCACGACCUUUUGCUGACUCUGAGAUCUGUGAUUUGGUUGGUCGAGCUAGUCAGCUUUCCCUGCAGAUCUCCUAAAGGCCUACUAAGCUGGGAUUAUAAAUAAGCAAGCCACGAUGCUUGCCUAGAUUUAUUUAUUUUUUUAUAUAUGGGUGCUGGAAAUCCAAACUCCAGCAUUCAUGCUUGCAUGGCCAGCCCCAUCACUGAGCCAUCUUUCCAGCCUCCACAGCUUUUUUUUUUUUUUUUUUUUUUUUUUUUUUUUUGAGAUUUCUUCUUUCUUCCUAGAGCUGACAGUCUAUGUACUCGUUUCUUCCCUCUGGCUGGCACCCAUUCUCCCCGUGCUACUCAGUUGAUCUACAACAAAUGCAAGCCAACUGUGCUCAUUUUGAACCAUUUUACUGUGUAUUUUUAUACACAGUUGGCUUUUUAUUUUUGGUUAUGGGUAUGUGCUUGUGAAUGUAGGUGUCCAUGGGGGCCAUGGAGAUCUUAGGAAUCCCAAGAACUAGAGUGUGUAAUGUUUGCUGUCACUUCAACAGUUGCCCGAUUAUCUGUCAGAUGUCUCAGUACCUCUGCUUUUGUACCUAAGUCAUUCUUAACUUUGCAUAAAAUGGGCACAGAACACAGAAGUAGUGAGGAAUUGCAGGCAUUCAAGAAAACACAUAAAAAGACAUUAAUUUUACCAUUAAUGGUAAGACUAUAGAAAAUGGGAAAAAUUCUAAUAUGUUUAGAAUUUCCCUAGGUGCACAAUUUCAGGCAUCUACUGAAAGCCUUGCAAAUCACCCCUCUUGGGAGAAUAGGAUUCCUAUGUGGUGAAAUACAUUAAUUCUUGAAGUCAGGUCUAUGAAACAAGAUAUAUUCAGAAAAUCUAUCCAUCCCUGGCCCUCCCUGCCCUGUGCAUUUUUCUUAGAUCUUGUGAUAUGCCUUCCAUUAAGUAAUACGUCCAUGCUGUACCUUCCAAUAAGCCAUGAAUUGUAUUAAUUUUACAUAGGAAGGGAGGAACAAGGAAGGGGGUUGGAAUUCUUCCUAAUAGGAAUAAGUAAAUCUAUCUCUGGCUAUGGCUUGUUCUCUUAGAUCAGUGCUGGUGUGCUUCUGUUUGGGGCACAAGAGCAUCUACCAACAGCCAUGCCAUUUUUAAGGAGAAUUUGAAAAAUACAAAAAACAAAAAACAAAAAAAAAAAACAAACAAACAAAAAACAAAUGAAGACUAUCUAUGCAAAUCACUUUUAUCUUUAAAGAAAGGAUCCAAAUAUAAGAUUCAUAUUGGAAAACCUAAUUUAGCAUGGAGGGUCUCACCAAAGACAAAGAUUUGGGAAUGGAUGGAUGCAUUUUGAGAGGAGAGAGAGAGAGAGAGAGAGAGAGAGAGAGAGAGAGAGAGAGAGAGAGAGAGAGAGAGAGAGAGAGAGAGAGCUCUUCAGAGUCUACCAGUUAACAGGCACCAAGUGAAAAUAUAACUCUUAAGACUCAUGCCACAAGCCCUUAAUGCCUAGUCGACUUCUAAAAGAUUGCAUCUAGUUACAAGACACACAAUUCAAAGCU
rnacentral:lncRNA from 1 species